UACGUAGGGUGCAGGCGUUAAUCGGAAUUACUGGGCGUAAAGCGUGCGCAGGCGGUCUUUUAAGUCAGAUGUGAAAUCCCCGGGCUUAACCUGGGAACUGCGUUUGAAACUGGAAGGCUUGAGUGUGGCAGAGGGGGGUGGAAUUCCACGUGUAGCAGUGAAAUGCGUAGAUAUGUGGAGGAACACCGAUGGCGAAGGCAGCCCCCUGGGCUAACACUGACGCUCAUGCACGAAAGCGUGGGGAGCAAACAGG
rnacentral:rRNA from 1 species